CGAUUGCCAUGAACCGUACCCUACAUCACCUUCCCUAAAUGUUUUUCAACUAAAGUCUUGCCACCAACAAACCCCCAAUAAAAACCAACCACUCCAGCUCCACUACUUCCAGAGGACAGCCCCGUCGCACUGCUUUCUUCAGCGCCCUUCAGAUGAGCGAGUGGUACAUCUACCAUGCCACUAGAACUAAAGUAAUUAGCUAUCAAGCUUAGCACGCAACCUUUAACCACAUAGACCGGCCGUAAACAGGACUUAACCGCACUGACUCCAACCUGCCUGCUCUGCCAAGCCGGACGCAGCCGCUCGCUGUGCCUUCCCGCCCGCAGCCAUGUGGCGGGGCGCAUUCUUUGUGUUGGGCCUCCACGCCCGGCCGCGCUCCCAACUCCAAGGCCCGUCCGUCUGCCUGGGCUUUCAUUCUUUUGCCGCGAGAUGACAGACUUGCUUGCCACCUUCCCGCCGGCGCCGCUUCCGGGCUAAUAAGUUGGGGUGGUCGUGCCCUCCUUCUCCGCCUUCACUCUAUCACCGUGGGGGGAGUGCAGACGUGCUUGAACCCCCAGCUGAUUCUGAAUCCAUGCCGUCCUCUGCUCCUUCCCAAAGCUCACCAG